rnacentral:rRNA from 1 species
GACGAACGCUGGCGGCGUGCUUAACACAUGCAAGUCGAGCGGUAAGGCCCCUUCGGGGGUACACGAGCGGCGAACGGGUGAGUAACACGUGGGUGACCUGCCCUCAGCUCUGGGAUAAGCCUGGGAAACUGGGUCUAAUACCGGAUAUGACUCCAUGACGCAUGUCGUGGGGUGGAAAGCCUUGUGCGGCUGGGGAUGGGCCCGCGGCCUAUCAGCUUGUUGGUGGGGUGANGGCCUACCAAGGCGACGACGGGUAGCCGGCCUGAGAGGGCGACCGGCCACACUGGGACUGAGACACGGCCCAGACUCCUACGGGAGGCAGCAGUGGGGAAUCUUGCGCAAUGGGCGAAAGCCUGACGCAGCGACGCCGCGUGAGGGAUGACGGCCUGGU